UUGGUGCAUCAAAGUCCUACAAUACCACCACCUAUAAAUCUAUAGUGACCUAUACUUGUCCAAAGAAAGAAAAACUAAAUUCAACAUGUGAAAAGGACCAUAAAUGGACUCCAGUAGCUUCUACUUGUAAAGCUUAUAAAUACAUUGACUGCGGAAAUCCAAAAGAAGUUGUUGGUGCAAAGAAGUCCUACAAAACUACCACUUAUAAAUCUGAAGUGACCUAUAUUUGUCCAAAGGGAGAGCAACUGAAAUCGAUAUGUGAACAGAACAGUGAAUGGACUCUCGUAGCAAAAACCUGCAAUGUUAACCAAAUCUAUUUUGUGAAAGUGAGAGGUGCACAUCUGGAUGUUUUUGAGAAAACAUUGUGGUCUAAAACACGGACAACAGCAGAAAACUGUGCGAAAAAAUGUCUGUCUGACAAAAACUGCUUAUCAUUUGAAGUAACUAAAGGAAGAGCACGAUGUUACUUAUCAAAGAAAAGUGCAGCUCUCUCUGACAAACUAAGAGUGGCCAAGGCCAGA